GACAGAGGAUGCAAGCGUUAUCCGGAAUGAUUGGGCGUAAAGCGUCUGUAGGUGGCUUUUUAAGUCUGCCGUCAAAUCCCCAGGCUUAACCCUGGACAGGCGGUGGAAACUACCAAGCUGGAGUACGGUAGGGGCAGAGGGAAUUUCCGGUGGAGCGGUGAAAUGCGUAGAGAUCGGAAAGAACACCAACGGCGAAGCACUCUGCUGGGCCGACACUGACACUGAGAGACGAAAGCUAGGGGAGCGAAUGGG
rnacentral:rRNA from 1 species